UUUAUACAUGAGAAAGCAGGCACAGAGAGGUUGAGUCACUUGCUCAGGGGCACACAGCUAGAGAGGGCUAGGCAAGGAUUUUAACACAGGUGGUCUCCCUCCACUACAUAGUACCAAAUCAUUGUUGAACACCUACUACAUGCAAGGCACGGUUGUAGGUGCAAAAGCUGGUUCUCAAAAUUGAAUGUCGACAGCAUUCAUUCCCUGCCAGCCCUCCAUCCCCAAGGGCUUAGCAAUCAUUCCUUCUGCUGCGAGUCAUUUUUUCAAAAAUGCCCCAAAUGGAGAGACGAGAAAGUCAAAGGAGAGACUUGCUCAGAAUUAGAACACAGUCCUCAGGGGUCUGUGCAGAAACUCCAGAACAGAAGGGCCUGGCUCUGGCUAAGUCAGACCCCAGCUGCUCCCAGCCCUCCUUGGCCGUCUCGGAUGACUGAACAAACAGCUCUGCAUCACCUUGUGGGAGAGGAAGCCUGGUCCUCACAGGAGCGGCCCUGAAAAGGCUGCUCGUCGCGUCUGGCUCCCCGUCCCCACCCUUGCAGCCGGGCCUGCAGUGGAUGCCCGGAGUUCAAAGGCGCUACUUCCCUUGGAGCCACAUCAAGGACUGGAGUGAUGAAAGAGCCCUCUGACCUCCUCACAGUGAGGAUGGAACCACCUUUGUAUUGUGUGUGUGUGUGCUGAAUUUUUCCUGUCACUAUUGUGUUUUCACGCACUAGAUGUAGAAUGUCUGAAAACAAUCAUCGGAAAUAGUCUCUCACCUACAGCCAGAGGCUGGAACCUGGCCCAGUGUGGGGGAGAGGAUGUGUUCUCCCAGUGAGAACCUGGUGACCCACGUUAAGGAGGCUCAUUAGAGGGCACGGGUGGGCUUUCUCAGCCUGGGCCCUGAACACUGGCUCUUUGAGAUUUCUUCUACCCACAAGGCCACAGGCUCUGAUGGGAAGGGCCCCAGCCUAGCAGCUUUCUCAGUGGGAGAGGUUUGCCUGGAGGCCACACCUUAUCAUCCGACCCAUAAUGGGCCUCCAUCUCCAGGUGUAUCACUUCUGCCUGAACACAACCUGAUAGCAAGGCCACUCCAGGCCUGAUGUCCAGCCCACUCCUGGGUUUUUGGCAAGGGGCUUUGUGGUGGUGGCAAGCCCUCUGGGGAGACAGUAGGAUUUCCACCCAUCCUGAGGUCAAGGCUGCUGGGUGCUGGUGGUGGGGAGCUGACGAACUCUGUGGCAGUAAGGAAGGCGUCAGAAGGCGCCUAUAAGCCCAGCUCCCCCUCAGACCUGCACAGGCCUCCUGUCUAGGAAACGGGAACACAUACUCUCACAGGCCUGCCCCACGCUGGGAUNUGUGGCAGUAAGGAAGGCGUGAGAAGGCGCCUAUAAGCCCAGCUCCCCCUCAGACCUGCACGGGCCUCCUGUCUAGGAAACGGGAACACAUACUCUCACAGGCUUGCCCCACGCUGGGAUGGACCGCCUGGCUUCAGAGGCCUCCGGUUAACAGAAAGUGCCACAGCAAUGCUAACAGGGGCUGUCCAGGCCUCUGCGGUGUGACCUCUCCUGUGAGGAGCCAGGCCAAGCGGUGGGCCAGUGCCCACAGACCAAGAAGUAGAGUGGGAACGUUGAGGAGGGAAAAAAUGAGAAACAUGAAGGUUCGUACUGAGGGAUCCUGGCCAGGCGAGCCGGUUUGCAGGCUGUCUCCGCCAUUCUCUGUUGGCCCUGAGGUUUAAAGGAUCCAACAAGGAAAAAUCAGGCUCCAAACCAUGAUGGCCAAAUAUCCCCCAAAGGAGCAGAUCACCCUUCUUCUGCCCCAGACACCAGGCCGAGCAAAUGCUAUUAAUAACCCUGGCCACUCCCAGGUCCACUCGGGGUGCUCAGGGCUGCAGCCUGCUCCUCGGAUGCGGCCAGCUGUUUCAAACAGGUUUGGG
ensembl:lncRNA